AUAUAUUUAUUUCAACAGGAGCGGAAUGUAGAGAACAACGGGACUGACCAUUUCACAAUACCCGGGAUUCAUCAUGGCGACGAGGGAGACGACAUCUUACUCACAGAGGAACAGCUCGCAGCAGCUAACCUGAGCAGGCUGGAGGGGGAGGAAUUGCUCGAGAAACUGGGGGACACGAUGCUGACCCCGAGCAGCUGGCCGCCAUCCUCAACAGGAAGGCGAUCAACGAUGUCACCAGAUUCUGGCCUGAUGUCAACGGCUUCCCUCACAUUCCCUAUAC